UAGAUGGACUCACGACCAAACCAAAAUUUUUUGUCAGGCGAGAGUUCUUUGAGCUCCCGGAACUAAAAUCUUCCAUUGUAUUUAUAGAUCUAACUAGCAAGUACCAGGACCCCGAGGAAAAAUGUCACUCCUCGCGGCAAUCCCGCACCUUGUUCAUACAAGUGAAAGACAAGCGAAACACAAACGAAAGACAUCAGAGUUUCGUUUCGUUACCAGUGACGUUUAAAAUAGUCUCUUACACGUUGUUUUCGUGCAACUCUUCAAGGACACUCGGGAUUAAUAAAGAACUCUUUCGUUUGAAUAAAUAGGAACGAGAUAAAAAACACAUGAUUCUAACAAGCAAACAUGGGUCGUACACAUGCACUACACGGGACGGCGACACACACGAAGGACGACUACACACACGAAGGACUGCGACAACUCGUACGCACACACACAAGCGACAGCGACAAAUAAUUGUAACAGUACGAGAGGAAUGAAAAACGAAUUGUUAAGUACUAGUUAUGACUUGUAAUAAAAAACUUAUCUACGGUGAACUUGAAUCAAAAUCGAGAGUACAACAAGUUUCUUAGCAGUUCAUUACAAAACGUACCUAAAAUAUUGACUGUGUUACAAAGACUAAAUUGCUCUCGGUUGGUACGCAAGGACCGAAGGGGCCGCUACGGUUGUACCGUCCCGUCCUGGGUCACCGGUAGAAGCCGCGGAAGUACCUGAAGCAGUCGCGGCUGGAGACGAAGUAGUAGAUGCCGGUGCUGGGGAAACGGCAGCCGUAGUAGGCCGUGGAGCCUUACGUUUAAUUUACACAAGUACCUCACCCCACAUUAACACUAAACACGUUACCCAAGUCUCACCUUCCCCGACAGUAAGAACAAAUCGUCCCCGACGUUCAAGAUAGCGAUAUUCGGACUGAACGUCGCCGUUGUUGUCUAAGUCUACACCAUUCGAGUAAGUAAGUAAGAGAGUCCUGUUCCCCUGGUUUAACUAAGUUUAAAACACAAGACUAGAAUUACAACGCUCCAAACGCUAGCGUACAUACCAGCCCUGACGUACCCAGGGCGCUGGUUAACGAACGUAGAGAACGACAUACCACUACCACUGGCCGAGGACAAUUUAGGUUAUGCUGACGUGAACAAGCGAAGUCCACCGGCACUUCGAGACUGAGGUAGGAGUGCUGUGAGUUUGGACAGAACUACUAACGUAGUCUAACGUUGAGAUAAUAGAAAAGUAUGGUACUAUACGCACGUACAGAGAAGCCAAGAGUUUGUUCUUUAUGAAAAGAAAGUCAAACGAAACAUCCAUUGUACGUCACAUGUCAACCAUCGUCUAAUACUACGUUCAAACAAACAAAAGUGAGGUGUUCGUACUAAAAAUACUAUGUACUGCGAUGAGACUCCGACGAGGAGUGAUGGUCAGUGUUGUUCUACCCCGGGGACCACCAGGAGACUUUAAACUAAGAGAGCUACCGGCUCCUAGCAAAACGAAACUUCAGACUACAUGUAAAAAAAUUAGAGUACAUCCUUCUUCCAUAGGGGGGAUAUGCUUCUAAAGAUCGAACGGACACACAACUACUCACGUAAGCCGGUUUGUUAAACACCUGGUUUAUUUGAACAACGUCUAUGUCUUCUUGUUCCGACGUGUGUUCCUCAACGGACUUAACGUCACCGUCGCCACAACAUUAUACAUUACAAAACGUAGUUGAACCAGAUAUAAGAUAGGUAUUCAGAUUACUUAACCGGGAACAAAUAGUCCUUAGUUCGAACACUUCUUUUUAAAGCAAUGAAAUUACUGUGUGUGAACGUAAAUUAGAAUUGUCAAGGUGUAGGGUGUAGCUUGGAAGGUCUGAGCAGGUUCACUGGUAAACGUUGUAGGAAAAGGCCAGUUAGACCUAAUAAAGUUCCAAAAGUAGUGAGACCAGACGUGUUGUAAGUACCUUUAAUAUCAGAAGGUUUUAUAAGGACCUAGUGAACGUUUUUCCUUACGACACUUCUCAUCGCAAGGUAGUAGACCCCAGGUUGUUGGGUCUCCCUCGUAAAGACCCUCUAAACGACGUUUGUCGGAGGGACAACAGUAAGAGUCUAAGGAGUACGUGUAAGUCCACAGUCACCAUCUCAUUACUUACAACCACCUCCAGUUCGUAAAUCUUCACCUUACUUAUACCCACCAUGGUAAGUUCCAAAUAGGAGUUUGAACCGGUGGUCACCAUUAGCUUUAAUACAAGGACCUUUGGGUCGAAACCCAGGUACAUAAUGUUUGUAACACGCGUCUUCAUUGUAACCUUAUUUAUAUUCGAGACCACCCAACAGCCACGGCUAAUAGAGUAGUGUGUAGCUAAAAUCCCAGUUACGACGUUCACCUUCUGAUUUACACGUUCCUAGGUUGUCCUACUACUUACCGGAAUAAGACGUUCCAUACGGACUACCUCGCUAACCCAACUACGACUUCGACUAUAUGAGGGGAUUCAACGAGGUUAGCCCUUACGUCUAUAUGAAGGCACUCAACGAGGGGUUUUGGUUAGGGAACGAGAAGAAACGUGGUUAGCCUGUUCUCUACGCUCGGUAGGAAAAAUGACCUACAAGAGAACUAGCAAAGAAGGAUACCUAAAACACCAACGGUCUACAAGAGAGUGACACCUAACCAUACUUCCAACAUUUUGUAAAAGUAAUCCGUAGUUAAAAUAACGACCACGAACAGACCGACAUUUUAGACGAGUUAUACAUAUAAAAGGAAAGCAGACACAGGGAAAAGGCUAUAUUAUGACUUGGAAAACCUUAUAGAGACAUGUAUUUUUUUAACACAAGACAGACGGCAAACUUUACCUG
rnacentral:rRNA from 1 species